rnacentral:rRNA from 1 species
AUUGAACGCUGGCGGCAGGCUUAACACAUGCAAGUCGAGCGGGGUGAUGGUGCUUGCACUAUCACUUAGCGGCGGACGGGUGAGUAAUGCUUAGGAAUCUGCCUAUUAGUGGGGGACAACAUUUCGAAAGGGAUGCUAAUACCGCAUACGUCCUACGGGAGAAAGCAGGGGAUCACUUGUGACCUUGCGCUAAUAGAUGAGCCUAAGUCGGAUUAGCUAGUUGGUGGGGUAAAGGCCUACCAAGGCGACGAUCUGUAGCGGGUCUGAGAGGAUGAUCCGCCACACUGGGACUGAGACACGGCCCAGACUCCUACGGGAGGCAGCAGUGGGGAAUAUUGGACAAUGGGGGGAACCCUGAUCCAGCCAUGCCGCGUGUGUGAAGAAGGCCUUAUGGUUGUAAAGCACUUUAAGCGAGGAGGAGGCUCUUUUGGUUAAUACCCAAGAUGAGAGGACGUUACUCGCAGAAUAAGCACCGGCUAACUCUGUGCCAGCCGCCGCAGUAA